GACGAACGCUGGCGGCGUGCUUAACACAUGCAAGUCGAACGGAAAGGCCCUGCUUUUGUGGGGUGCUCGAGUGGCGAACGGGUGAGUAACACGUGAGUAACCUGCCCUUGACUUUGGGAUAACUUCAGGAAACUGGGGCUAAUACCGGAUAGGAGCUCCUGCUGCAUGGUGGGGGUUGGAAAGUUUCGGCGGUUGGGGAUGGACUCGCGGCUUAUCAGCUUGUUGGUGGGGUAGUGGCUUACCAAGGCUUUGACGGGUAGCCGGCCUGAGAGGGUGACCGGCCACAUUGGGACUGAGGUACGGCCCAGACGCCUACGGGAGGCAGCAGUGGGGAAUAUUGCACAAUGGGCGGAAGCCUGAUGCAGCAACGCCGCGUGCGGGAUGACGGCCUUCGGGUUGUAAACCGCUUUCGCCUGUGACGAAGCGUGAGUGACGGUAAUGGGUAAAGAAGCACCGGCUAACUAUGUG
rnacentral:rRNA from 1 species